rnacentral:misc_RNA from 1 species
CCUAGAGUUGUAGGCUUUGCCUGCUAUCUCUUACCCAUGUCUUUUGAGUACCUUCGUUUCCUCGGCGGGUCCGCCCGCCGAUUGGGCAAUUUAAACCAUUUGCAGUUGCAAUCAGCGUCUGAAAAAACUUAAUAGUUA